rnacentral:lncRNA from 1 species
UUUGAUUGACAAAUCCUCGAAACUUGGAACGUGUUCCUUCGAACUUAUCUGGAAGGCUAACUCGAGGCUCCUUAUGUUGUAGAACUAGUGGUUCUUGUCGAACUUGAGGUAAAGUUGUUUCUCCAAGUGCAGAAGUUUGAGGCUGGUGCAGUUUAGAUUGUGCUAUCCCAGAUACUCCAUCAUUAUGAAGCCUUGCCACCACUCCUUGAAUCUCUGCAGUUCUUUGUGAUAACGUAGCGAGGGCAUUCAUAAUAGCAUCUAACUUAGACUCCGAACUUACUGUCAUACUAAUGUCUUGACCUCCGGCCAUUCUAAAAGAAGGACAAAAAUGACUCUACAAGAGGCAAUAUUGGUUUAUAGGAGGGUAAUCCACAACCUAUAAAACGCCUUAAGAAUUUCAAGAAGAGGAGUAAUCUACUCUCUCUAAGAAGAAUAAGACUCCAAUAUUGUAACAGAAGAAGUAUCAGUUUAGAGGAGAGUAAUCCGCAACCUCUAAAAUGCUAGUAUACCUUCAAGUAGAGGGAUAAUCUACACUCUACUAAGAAAGAACUAGCUCUGAUAUCUCAAGUUAGUGCAGUCUCGACAAACUGUCACGGAUACAAAAUACAGACUUGAAAUCUAACAAGAAGUUCAAGAAGAAGUUGCAGAACUAGAUUAAACAGAUAAGUACAAGAACAAUACCAGAAAGGUGAGCUAGAACUCCAAGAGAUGUGUUGUCGAG